GCGGAUAUGGCGGAAUGGCAGACGCAGAAAACUCAAAAUCUUCCGGAGAAAUUCGUGUGGGUUCAAGUCCCACUAUCCGUA
rnacentral:tRNA from 1 species